GAUUCCCUUAGUAACGGCGAGUGAAGUGGGAAGUGCUCAAAUUUAAAAUCUCAUUAGAGAAUUGUAAUUUAUAGAACAUUUUGUAUGGAAAUAAGGAUUAAAGUCUGCUGGAAAGCAUGCGCUAGAAAGGGUGAUAGCCCCGUUCAAUCCAUUAUAACCUAAUUAACAUAUGUUUCAAAGAGUCAGAUUGCUUGGGAAUGCAGUCUAAAUUUGGUGGUAAACUCCAUCUAAAGCUAAAUAUUGAUCAGUGACCGAUAGCAAACAAGUACCGUGAGGGAAAGAUGAAAAGAACCUUGAAAAGGGGGUUAAAAGUACGUGAAAUUGUUAUUAGGAAAGCACUUGGCGUUAUUGUGGAUUAGAUGAGUCUGUUUCGGCAGAUACUGAUCUAAUUAGUCAUGAUCAGUUAAUGAUAGUAAAAAAAUUAAAUUGCAAGGUAGUCGGGUAAACCAACACUUAUAGGCUUUUUAGUUUUACUGUUAUUGACUGAGGAACGCUUUUUAAAAUUAUAUGGUGUUAAGGUUUUUGAAAGUAAUGUUAAGCCAACAUGUUGAUUAAUAUUAUUGAUUGAUCUUUAUAUUAUAUAAUUUAAAAGAAGGAUCAUGAUUAAAUAAUACCAAAUGACCCGUCUUGAAACACGGACCAAGGAGUCUAACAUGGUUGCGAGUUACAGGGUGAAAAACCUUUGAGCGCAAUGAAAGUGAAAAAGAUAGGAUAAAUUUUGCACUAUCAACCUAACCUGAUGAUAUUUCUGACGGUUUAGAGUUAGAGCAAUUAUGUUGGGACCCGAAAGAUGGUGAGCUAUGCUUGAAUAGGGCAAAGCCAGAGGAAACUCUGGUGGAGGCUCGUAGCGAUUCUGACGUGCAAAUCGAUCGUCAAAUUUGAGCAUAGGGGCGAAAGACUAAUCGAACCUUCUAAUGGCUGGUUCCUGCCGAAGUUUCCCUCAGGAUAGCAGAAAUUUUUUAAUAGUUUUAUGAGGUAAAGCGAAUGAUUAGAGGAAUGGGGGAUGAAACAUCCUUCACCUAUUCUCAAACUUUGAAUCUGUAAGUUGCUUCAGGUUACUUAAUGAACCUAAGCUGAAU
rnacentral:rRNA from 1 species